UCACUUUCUUGUUCUUGGAGAAAUACAACAUUAUCGUCCGGAAUUGCACUUCUCCUCUCUCUAGUGGAUCUCCUUAAUGGCACUUCAGGUUCUUGAGGUUGUUGAGUUUUAUUUUCAUCAAUAAUAUCAGGAACUUGAUCAGGGAGAUUAUCAAGAUUGUCUUAAAUUGGAGUUGUGUGAUCAGUGUCAGGAAUGAGAACACCCUGAUCAAGAUCAACAACGAAAGGAAAAGACACAUGUUCUUCCUCAA
rnacentral:lncRNA from 1 species